rnacentral:rRNA from 1 species
GACGAACGCUGGCGGCGUGCCUAAUACAUGCAAGUUGAGCGCUGAAGGUUGGUACUUGUACCAACUGGAUGAGCAGCGAACGGGUGAGUAACGCGUGGGGAAUCUGCCUUUGAGCGGGGGACAACAUUUGGAAACGAAUGCUAAUACCGCAUAAAAACUUUAAACACAAGUUUUAAGUUUGAAAGAUGCAAUUGCAUCACUCAAAGAUGAUCCCGCGUUGUAUUAGCUAGUUGGUGAGGUAAAGGCUCACCAAGGCGAUGAUACAUAGCCGACCUGAGAGGGUGAUCGGCCACAUUGGGACUGAGACACGGCCCAAACGCCUGCGGGAGGCAGCAGUAGGGAAUCUUCGGCAAUGGACGAAAGUCUGACCGAGCAACGCCGCGUGAGUGAAGAAGGUUUUCGGAUCGUAAAACUCUGUUGGUAGAGAAGAACGUUGGUGAGAGUGGAAAGCUCAUCAAGUGACGGUAACUACCCAGAAAGGGACGGCUAACUACGUG